ACCUUUCAAAAAUUUUGAAAUUGUUCGUUGAAACACCCGGUACACAACGCCGACUUAAUGUGGUUCUAUUUGGACCCAAGAUGUUAAACUUAUUUUUGGAAGUUGGCGGAUUGCUGAAGCCUGCUUCACUUCCUCCGCCGGUCGGCCCGAUAUUGCACUAUCUCCGGGAUCGGCCCACGCAUU